GCCCCCGUAGCUCAGUUUGGAUAGAGCGGCGCCCUCCUAAGGCGAAGGUCGCGGGUUCGAAUCCCGCCGGGGGCA
rnacentral:tRNA from 1 species